GAUGAAGAACGUAGCGAAAUGCGAUAAGUAAUGCGAAUUGCAGAAUUUCCGUGAGUCAUCGAAUCUUUGAACGCACAUUGCGCCCGCCAGUAUUCUGGCGGGCAUGCCUGUUCGAGCGUCAUUACAACCCUCAGGCCCCCGGGCCUGGCGUUGGGGAUCGGCGGAGCCCCCCGUGGGCACACGCCGUCCCCCAAAUGCAGUGGCGGUCCCGCCGCAGCUUCCAUCGCGUAGUAGCUAACACCUCGCGACUGGAGAGCGGCGCGGCCACGCCGUAAAACACCCAACUCUUCUGAAGUUGACCUCGAAUCAGGUAGGAAUACCCGCUGAACUUAAGCAUAUCAAUAAGCGGAGGA
rnacentral:misc_RNA from 1 species